rnacentral:rRNA from 1 species
UAGGGAAUCUUCGGCAAUGGACGAAAGUCUGACCGAGCAACGCCGCGUGAGUGAAGAAGGUUUUCGGAUCGUAAAACUCUGUUGUUAGAGAAGAACAAGGACGUUAGUAACUGAACGUCCCCUGACGGUAUCUAACCAGAAAGCCACGGCUAACUACGUGCCAGCAGCCGCGGUAAUACGUAGGUGGCAAGCGUUGUCCGGAUUUAUUGGCCGUAAAGCGAGCGCAGGCGGUUUCUUAAGUCUGAUGUGAAAGCCCCCGGCUCAACCGGGGAGGGUCAUUGGAAACUGGGAGACUUGAGUGCAGAAGAGGAGAGUGGAAUUCCAUGUGUAGCGGUGAAAUGCGUAGAUAUAUGGAGGAACACCAGUGGCGAAGGCGGCUCUCUGGUCUGUAACUGACGCUGAGGCUCGAAAGCGUGGGGAGCAAACAGG